rnacentral:misc_RNA from 1 species
UUAAGUUCAGCGGGUAUCCCUACCUGAUCCGAGGUCAAACUGUGGGUGUGACUUGAUGGACGCCGAUCCGCCAAAAGCUCGAGAAGCGCAAUGUGCUGCGCGAGAAGCUGGCAAGACCGCUGCCAAUGCCUUUGGGGCGAGUCCGCGCGGGGAGCGGGGACAGACGCCCAACACCAAGCAGAGCUUGAGGUUGUAAAUGA